rnacentral:rRNA from 1 species
CAGUCGCCGCGGGAAUACGAAGGGGGCUAGCGUUGCUCGGAAUCACUGGGCGUAAAGGGUGCGUAGGCGGGUCUUUAAGUCAGGGGUGAAAUCCUGGAGCUCAACUCCAGAACUGCCUUUGAUACUGAAGAUCUUGAGUAUGAGAGAGGUAUGUGGAACUCCGAGUGUAGAGGUGAAAUUCGUAGAUAUUCGGAAGAACACCAGUGGCGAAGGCGACAUACUGGCUCAUUACUGACGCUGAGGCUCGAAAGCGUGGGGAGCAAACAGGAUUAGAUACCCGCGUAGUCCCUGUCUCUUAUAC